AUUGAACGCUGGCGGCAGGCCUAACACAUGCAAGUCGAGCGAGUGGCGGACGGGUGAGUAAUGUAUGGGGAUCUUCCUGAUCGCGGGGGAUCACUACUGGAAACGGUUGCUAAUUCCGCAUACCAUCAGAUGAACCGAUGUGGGAUUGGCUAGUGGGUAAGGUAACGGCUUACCAGGUCGCCGAUCCCUAGCUGGUCUGAGAGGAUGAUGGGCCAACCUGGGAUGGGGAACCGGCCAGGAUCCCUACGGAAGGAACAAGUGGGGAAUAUUGCACAAUGGGCGCAAGCCUGACGAAGACAUGCGGCGGGUAUGAAGAAGGUUUUCGGGUUGAAAAGUACUUUCAGUAGGGAGGCGUUACCGACAGAAGAAGCACCGGCUAACUACGUGCCAGCCGCCGCGGUAAUUC
rnacentral:rRNA from 1 species